UUGAGAGCGGCGUACGGGUGCGGAACACGUGUGCAACCUGCCUUUAUCAGGGGGAUAGCCUUUCGAAAGGAAGAUUAAUACCCCAUAAUAUAUUGAGUGGCAUCACUUAAUAUUGAAAACUCCGGUGGAUAGAGAUGGGCACGCGCAAGAUUAGAUAGUUGGUGAGGUAACGGCUCACCAAGUCAACGAUCUUUAGGGGGCCUGAGAGGGUGAUCCCCCACACUGGUACUGAGACACGGACCAGACUCCUACGGGAGGCAGCAGUGAGGAAUAUUGGACAAUGGGUGCGAGCCUGAUCCAGCCAUCCCGCGUGAAGGACGACGGCCCUAUGGGUUGUAAACUUCUUUUGUAUAGGGAUAAACCCAGAUACGUGUAUCUGGCUGAAGGUACUAUACGAAUAAGCACCGGCUAACUCCGUGCCAGCAGCCGCGGUAAUACGGAGGGUGCAAGCGUUAUCCGGAUUUAUUGGGUUUAAAGGGUCCGUAGGCUGAUUUGUAAGUCAGUGGUGAAAUCUCACAGCUUAACUGUGAAACUGCCAUUGAUACUGCAAGUCUUGAGUGUUGUUGAAGUAGCUGGAAUAAGUAGUGUAGCGGUGAAAUGCAUAGAUAUUACUUAGAACACCAAUUGCGAAGGCAGGUUACUAAGCAACAACUGACGCUGAUGGACGAAAGCGUGGGGAGCGAACAGGAUUAGAUACCCUGGUAGUCCACGCCGUAAACGAUGCUAACUCGUUUUUGGGGCGCAAGCUUCAGAGACUAAGCGAAAGUGAUAAGUUAGCCACCUGGGGAGUACGAACGCAAGUUUGAAACUCAAAGGAAUUGACGGGGGCCCGCACAAGCGGUGGAUUAUGUGGUUUAAUUCGAUGAUACGCGAGGAACCUUACCAAGGCUUAAAUGGGAAAUGACAGGUUUAGAAAUAGACUUUUCUUCGGACAUUUUUCAAGGUGCUGCAUGGUUGUCGUCAGCUCGUGCCGUGAGGUGUUAGGUUAAGUCCUGCAACGAGCGCAACCCCUGUCACUAGUUGCCAUCAUUAAGUUGGGGACUCUAGUGAGACUGCCUACGCAAGUAGAGAGGAAGGUGGGGAUGACGUCAAAUCAUCACGGCCCUUACGCCUUGGGCCACACACGUAAUACAAUGGCCAGUACAGAGGGCAGCUACACGGUGACGUGAUGCAAAUCUCGAAAGCUGGUCUCAGUUCGGAUUGGAGUCUGCAACUCGACUCUAUGAAGCUGGAAUCGCUAGUAAUCGCGCAUCAGCCAUGGCGCGGUGAAUACGUUCCCGGGCCUUGUACACACCGCCCGUCAAGCCAUGGAAGUCUGGGGUACCUGAAGUCGGUGACCGUAACAGGAGCUG
rnacentral:rRNA from 1 species